rnacentral:rRNA from 1 species
CCUACGGGGGGCUGCGGUCGAGAAUCUUCCUCAAUGGCCGAAAGGCUGACGGAGCAAUGCCGCGUGAUCGAAGAAGCCCUUCGGGGUGUAAAGAUCUUUUCUGAGGGAAGAAUUAGUGACGGUACCUCAGGAAUAAGUCACUGCUAACUUCGUGCCAGCAGCAGCGGUAAUACGAAGGUGGCGAGCGUUACCCGGAUUGAUUGGGCGUAAAGCGUCCGCAGGCGGCUUAUCAAGUUCUCGGUCAAAUCCUGAAGCUCAACUUCAGGACUGCUGGGAAAACUAAUAAGCUAGAGACUGGGAGAGGUAAGCAGAAUUACCGGUGUAGCAGUGAAAUGCGUUAAUAUCAGUAGGAACACCAAAUGCGAAGGCAGCUUACUGGAACAGAUCUGACGCUCAGGGACGAAAGCGUGGGGAGCGAAUGGGAUUAGAUACCCGUGUAGUC